rnacentral:rRNA from 1 species
GACGAAGGGUGCAAACGUUGCUCGGAAUUAUUGGGCGUAAAGCGCACGUAGGCGGCUUGGCAAGUCGGAUGUGAAAUCCCUCGGCUCAACCAAGGAAGUGCAUCCGAAACUGCCGAGCUUGAGUACUUAAGAGGAUCGCGGAAUUCCCGGUGUAGAGGUGAAAUUCGUAGAUAUCGGGAGGAACACCAGUGGCGAAGGCGGCGAUCUGGGAAGAUACUGACGCUGAGGUGCGAAAACGUGGGGAGCAAACAGG